GCAAUUAGAAGUUUUUAUUUAACUUCUGUAUGUGUGCUGCUAUGUGAAGUUUUUAUUUAACUUCCAUCUGUGUGAGUGUGCUGCUACUCUGAGUGUAUUAGCUAGGUUAAUUUCCUGCUAGAUGUGUGAUUUCCGCUGCUAUGGACUCUGUUGUGAGACCAAAGUGUUUUAGCCAAAAAUUUGCCAAAGGGGGAGUUUGUAGAUGUUUAAUUGGCUGCAUUGUAUGGUAAAAC
rnacentral:lncRNA from 1 species